rnacentral:lncRNA from 1 species
CUUCUCCUUCUUGGGGCCCUUCACCUUGAUGGUGUUGCCGAAGGCGUCAAUCACCUCAUCCUGCUGCUUGAUCUCCACCUUCUCCUUAAUGGCGAUCAGGUUGUCACCCUCGCGCACCAUCUUGCCGCCGCCCACGAUCCACCGCUCAUUGCACAGCGCGGACACGAACUCGUUGUGGUGAGAGAUGACGACGAUGCCGCCGCCGAAGUCCUUGAUGGCGCCGGCCAGAGCGCCCAGCGAGUCGCGGUCCAGGUAGUUGGUGGGCUCGUCCAGCACGAUCAGGUGGGGGUUCUGCCAGGUGGCGGCAGCCAGCACGACCUUCACCUUCUGGCCGCCCGACAGGCCGCGGAUGUGGCUGUGCAGGGCGAACUCCGACUCCAGGCCCAGGUCCUCCAGGUGCUUCUGGAUCGAGGCGGUGGUGAGCGGGCGGGUGAACAGGCCCAGCGCGGCGGCCUCCUUGAUGUCCAGCUCGUUCACCAGCUUCUCGUAGCCCAGCUCCACCAGGGUGUCGCGGGGCAGCCAGCUGGUCUGGUCGGCGGCGGUGUUGGCCCACUGCACCUCGUACUCGUACGACUUCUUCAGCUUGCGGCGAGCCAGCAGCUUCUCCACCGAGCGCUUGACCUGUUGUGUGAAGAGGAGCGAGGAAAAUGGGAGCGCGGCGUGAAUCACGUGGAGGAGGACACAUGGCAGCCUGCGGGACCUAUUACUGAUGCUUGACCAAGCUCGCUCGCCAUCUGACCCGUCCCCACGUGUACUGAUGCAACUCCAAUUUGCCCUCCAUUACAGCUCCUCUCCCGACACGCCUGCUCCUGCUCCACGUGGGCCCAGCAAACCUGCCCUGCUCCUCCUCCCUGUCCUGCUCGCCCUUCCUCUCACCUUCGGGUCGUCGCCGAUCUGCACCUUGUUCUCCUGCAGCUUCUUCUGCUCCUCCUCGGUCAGGCGGGUCUCCUUCUCCUGGGCCUCGCGGUCCUCACCGGGGGCGAAGCGCCACUGGAUGUACUCGUUGGGAGUCUGCGCGGGAACAGAAAUACGAGGAUGGCGGGUCAGGCGGGGUCAAUCAACCAUCAAUACCGUCACUGCUUGUCAGGACGGCCGACGCAGCAUCGAGCUGUCGAGACACUCAUACCCACGCCUAAGCCCGGGCGAACCACCCCCUCCCACCCACCUUGUCCAGGUGCUUCUCCAGGUGGUGGAAGGCGUGCUGCGCCACGUAGGCGAUGCGCAGGUUGGGGUGCUUCCACACGGUGCCGGCCACGGGCUCCACCUCGCCGGUCAGCACCUUGAUCAGGGUCGACUUGCCGGCGCCGUUGGGGCCAAUGCAGGCCACGCGCGACGACAGGGUGCAGUAGGCGGUGGCGCCCUCGAAGAUCAUGCGGUCGGUGUUGGGGUACUUGUAGGACACGCGGUCGGCCUUCAGGAUGGCCUUGUCCUUGGUCUUGACACCCUCCAGGUAGCCGGGCUCGGGCAGCUUGAAGGUCAGGGUGGAGGCAGUCAGCUCGUAGUAGGCCUUGGCCUCGGGCUUCUGCUCCACGAACUUCGAGAGGUUGCCCUUGUACACGCGCAGCUUGCGGUUGUUGUAGUCGAUGAUGUGCGUGCACACGUGGUCCAGGAAGCCGGAGUCGUGCGACACAAUGAUGGAGGACACCUCGUCCAGGCCCACCAGGUAGUCCUCCAGCCACUUGACGUUGUGCACGUCCAGAUGGUUGGUGGGCUCGUCCAGGAGCAUGAUGUCGGGCUUCAUCAGCAUGGUGCGGGCCAGCGCCAGCUUCAUCUUCCAGCCGCCGGACAGCGAGCCCACGGCCUUGUUCAGCAGCUCCUCGGUGAAGCCGACGGACGAGAGCAUGCUGGUCACCUGCUCCUUGGUGGUGUUCACGGCGGCCUGCAGGUUCUCGUCGGCGAAGACGAACUCCACGCAGUUCAGGUCCGACAGCGAGCCGUCGAUGUCGUGCUCCACGUACACGGUGCGCAGCACGUCCUUGGGCGGGAAGCCGUCCACCUGGCCGUUGGCAAUGGCGCGCAUCAGCGUGGACUUGCCCACGCCGUUGGGGCCGCACAGGCCGUAGCGGCGGCCACGCUUCAGGCGCAGCGCGGCGUUGUUGAGCAGAAUCUUGGCACCGUACGCCAGCGAGAACUCGCAGUUGCACAGCUCCUCGCCCUCCUCGUCGUCGAAGUACUCGGUGGACUUGACCUGUGCGCGCGUGGGUCGGUGGCGUGAGGAGAGGCAGGUAAGUGCUGAAAACAUGGUCGGGUGCCCAGUUUUCCACGCGUUGUGAGGCUUCCAAACACCGUUCACGGCGUCAGGACGCCGAGUCACAUACACACACCCUCGCACGUGCACAUGAGCCCUGUCACCUUCCCGUCCGCUCACCUGCACCUCGGCGAAGCACUUGUCGGCCAGGGUCUGAGCGAUGGGGGCCAGGGUGUCCUUGGACACGAACACGCCCAGGUAGGUGCCGAUCACCUUGUCGCGCCACUCCUCAAUCUCGAAGUUCUUGUUGUUGGUCAGGUUGGCGCACAGGGCGGCGGCGUAGUCCAGCACGGGGUAGGCCUCGGGGACCAGGCCCUUCUUGCCCUCGGCGGUGGCCGCCAGCAGGUCGUGCAGGGUCUUCAGGGCGGCGCCCUUGUCCAGGGUCUUGGCCAGCUUGGCCUUGCCCUCGGUCUCGAUGUGCUGCAGCGUCUUGAUGGCGCUGUUCGACACCUUGCGCAGCUCGGGGUCAGCGGCCUCGUUGGCCACCUGUUGGUCGGGAGGGGCAGAGAGCGGGAAGGGGUGAGGGGAGCGGCACCAACAUGCGGUACACGGAGCACAAACCACCUUGCAGACAGCAGUGGCGCCAUGCAUUCUCCCACCUCGAGCCCCACCAGGCAGCCGCCCCGCAACUCCGACACCCGAUUACCGCCGUCCCUUUCACCAGCCACCCCACUUCGCACCCAGGCUCACCUUCUCGAUCUCAGGCAUCAGGCGGGGCAGGAACACCAGGGCCUCAGCCGGGUUGUCCACCAGCUUAGCCAUGUUGUCAGCCACCACGGCGGCCUUGCGCUUGAUGGCGGUCACGCGCUCGCGCAGACCGCGCAGCAGCAGGGGCACCAUCAUGGCCAGGGCGGGGGCCUCAACCUGUGUUGGAUUGAAUUGAGAUGAGCGGCGAGGCAACGCGGUCAGCCGGGGUACUUGCGGCUAGUUUUGUCAGUCCCCCGAACCUCACGCCCGAAGCUGCUAGCCAGGCAAACCGUUCGCGUUGGUGGGGCUCACUCGGAGUAGCCUACUUGCUGCUGGCACGGUGCCCCUCUCACUUCCUGGGAAAGCUUACGCCCAAAGCGCCCCGCUGCAUCUCUUUCAACAGGUCAAGUCACGCUCGCUAGCCAGGUACCAAGCACCCCGACUCACCGCCUGCACGAAGGUGGUGGAGGCCAGCUUGUGCACGGUCUCCUGCACCUCCUCGGGGUGGUUGAUGGAGCGGAUGAUCAGGGGCACCAUGGCGUUGAUGUCGCGGUUGCCCACCAGCGUGCAGGCCUCCUUCAUGGUCUCGGUGGCCACGUCCUGUGGAAGGCGACAUACAGAGGGACAGGCGGCAUGGUUGUCACAACGUGUCGAGCAGUGGCGGAGGUCACCGCAACGUGCAUGCUUCGGCCCCAACCAGCCCCCCCUCAAAAAACGCGAGCCCCGCGUGCGCGAAACCAUUUGCAUGACCCUGACACCGAUUCCCUUUUCGAACCGCGCCUUAGCAGCGCCCCAUCCCCAGCCCCCGUCCAAAUCCCAUUCCAUACAAACGCCUUCGCGGCUUACCUUGACGCUCUGCUUGGAGUCGUUCAUGCAGCCGGAGACGGCGGGCACGAUGUCGGGCAGGGCGCGGGUAAUCUGCUUGGGGUGCAUGCCCACCAGCUGCUUCACCAGCAGCAGCGAGGCCUCCUUGGUGGCGGGGUGCUUCUUGGCGUCCAUGCACUCGAACAGGUAGCCCAGGAUGGUGUACACGGCGUGGGGGUUGAUGAUGCUGAUCAGCGCCUUGGAGGCGGCCUCAGCGGCGGCCUUCACCUCGGGCUUCUGCUCAGGUUGGCGGUGUGGGGAGGGGAGGAAGCAGGGGUUUGCGGGAAAAAGAGCUGGGGAGUGGGUGGCCGGCUGGACUACUGAUGUGGGUGCACAGAGGCGCGUCACAACCUCCCCCACAGUUGAUGGCGGCCCAUCGCUGGUCCCUGUGGCUGGUUGAAACAGCCCUGUAUAACCCUGCGCACCUUGUCACCGCACUGCUCCAGCACGGCGGGCAGCAGGGGGGCCAGGAAGGGCUCAGCAGCGCUGCCGAUGUUGUCGCAGAUGGCCUGGUAAGCAGCAAGACCAGCCUGACGGGCAGCGGGGUUGGCCUUGUCCUCGAUGGCCGCCUUCAGGGCAGCGGUGGCACCGAAGCCCUGUGUACAGGAAGGGCAGGGACAGCGAGCUCAGCGAAGGUCCUGAAAAGUGCAUGCUCUUUUUGCCACGUCCAGCCCCGCGAAUAUGCAACAAACAAGUCCGACGUGAUCUGCGGUAUUGCUUCCCAUGCGAUACGGCUGGGCAAUUGAAGGUGGGCAUGCACGAUAAGCUGAGCGCGGCAGCAGCACAGUUUGGGUCGGCGCCAAGAAGGCGCACCUUGGCACCAGCCUUCUUCAGGUGGGCCGCGAGGGCAUCAGCCGCCGAGGCAUCGCCGCUGGCGACCUUAGCGAUGAUCUCAGCGGAAGCCUUCGACUCCGGCACUGCGUGCACGAGGGCAGAUUCGGCCGAAUUGUCAAAAGUGCCCGGACCCAAAGCCAACCACCAAAGACUACUUCUGCGCUAUGCACAAUCAAGGUUAAAGCGCCAGAGCGCCUAACAGCGCGUCCACAAGACCGUGCAACAGGCCGCUGAUUAUGUGUCCCCCGCCGGCGUCGGCCCCUGGAAUACUCACGCUCAGCAAUCUUCGAGCUGACCUCCUCAAUCCGAAUCACCAGGUUAACGUCGGCGUCGGCAGACAUCCUUCUCAAAACCUUUGGACCGAAGCGAGGGUCGGUAGAACCGCGCUACUCUGCAAGGGCGGGAGAGCGGCGGCGUUGGGGUUCAGCGCAAUCUGCACAACGUAUGCAGAGCUCGCGCUGGGAUGCCCUGACAGCGCGUCAAGAGCCAGCACCAAAAGCCCGGCGACCAACAACCAAGAGCCGCAUGCUGCUGCCAGAGGCUCUAGAAGCUCAGCCUAUAGCACUGAGAGUCGCUGAUUGUUGUGGAACUAGUCUUAGAAGGUCAUAGUCUGUCGCUAAGGUGCGUGUGGACCAGCAUCAGCCGCCGGAGGGGCGUCCCACCUGCUUUGCAGAAGUAGGCAACGGGUUGGCCAGCUAAGGGCCUUGAAAGUUGUUAAGAAAGUUCUGCCUGUCUGGUCUAGUGCCAGGCUCAGGUCUUUAAAGUGGAGAAGCUGGGCGAGCGUCCGGCCCUAAGUUCACGAGCCGAUUGCAUGGCAUGCGCCCCGAAUCCGGGAAAUUCCGCAUCAUGCACCUCGGCUCUGCCCAAUUCCUUGAGUUGCUUCGCGAUAUGAUGUAUACUCAAAUGCGCCGGGCCCGAGCACCCGCGCUUGCUUAGCGACCAAACGGCGUGCAGUCCCUCGCUCUCGCCUUGGAUGCUCCAAUGGAGCGCAACCUUAAAGCGGAAUUAGCUAUGUCAUUCAAUUUCUUCAGAGCAUGCUAUGAGCAAACUUGGGCCGUUGGUUCGCUCACCUGCCCGUUCCCGCCAUCGUAGCAUCCCUCACGGCGCUCGCGCUUGGUGCUGCCCACCAAUCAUUGAUGCGCUUUCACAAGUUGGCAUACACAGAGUUGCUUGCCAGCGGCGCGACCUGCUUAUUUGAGUAGAGGAGGUGGAAGAGAGCCCUGCACGCGUCCGUGGAGCUGCAUGGAGCAGGGGUGUGUGAUGGGACAGUGGCAAGGCAGGUUGGUAAAGUCCCUUAGGGCGCAGCUAAUUCCCAUACCCAACAAAUGGCAAACAAUUGGCAGAGGCAGGGCAAGAGUGCGCGGCUGGUCUAACGCCGGAGUUACUGUACCGACGAGUUGCAUGGAGCAGGGGAGGCGUCCGACGCCACAGGCGCCGAGGCCGCUUCGUUUUGUUGAUGUAGCGCCGGCGAUUGGCAGGGGAGCAAGGACUGCAAACGGAGCUGAGGAUCUGAUGUAAUGAAGGGGCGCCCAGCUUGGACAGCGGAAAACUCGGGGCCUGGGGGCAAGGCCCAUUGUGAGUGCUGCAAAGUCGGAGGCUUUAAGCGGCCAUGUCCUAGUCUUCGCCUGGGUUUGGGCGGCACACCCCGAGGGUGCACGCUCCUCUGCCGCUCCUCUGUGCACCGUACGGCAUGUUGCCGCUCUCACACCACGACCUUAACCACGGUGCAGACCUGACGCAUAGAGAGCAGGGGAGAUGAUAGAGAGAGCACAGGGGGGUUCACAGUGGCCGUGCGGUGUCGUUAGGUGCCGAACAAGGGGGGCGAAGUCAUGAUUGGGCAUGCCGGCCUACAGACAUGUAGCACUAAAAGCACACAGUGACAUGAGGAGAGCGGUGGCGGUGGAAGACGGCGAGGAAGGUGGUAGGCAUUUGGGGUGGGUUAGUAUCUGCGGGGCCGAAGGCAGGAGUAGGGAUGGAACGGGUGCAGGGGACAUGCCGCGUCGUGUGGCAAUAGCCUUUGCUCCGCGCUGCAUCCUUAGCCAUGCUCUUGCGCGGCGCAAGCCAUAAGGGCGCGGCCAGCCAAGGAGUGUGUUAGGAAAGCACAACAGAAUGAGGCAUUGGGAAGGGGCACACACCGUCCGUGAUAGAUGUGCAAACAAGCAGUGCGCCGAGAUCGGUAAGGCCCUGGUCAUAUGUGGGGAAACUGUUUGCACGAGAGUAUGUAGCAGAGCCAGUCAAGGGGCAUAAGCUGGGUACUGGGCGACUGGUGAAAUCGGUGGUGGGCCGACGGGGUGGCUGCAUGAUGGCGCAACGUGCUGCGGCUGCAGCUUUUGUCAAUGGGGUGCACUCGGCUGCCAUAGCCACAGCGCCGUUGGGCUUUGGGAAAGGGGAGUGUCAGGAGCAUCGUCCUGCGCUGUAUCCUGUGCAUUACUCCUAAAACAUACAUCAUCCCCAUCACGCAAUCCCACAUUCUCACCGAGGCGCUGCCACCUUCCUUGCACUUUGCCGUUGGUGUCCCACCAAACUCCUCCAUUUCUUUGGGUGGGGGAGUAGUCUCUUUCUUGAGAACUUACACCCGCCAGUUGAGAGGUGUCUCCUCCUUGCCUGGCGGAAAUUGAGCAGGCCCCAUGCGUGGCUGCCUGUCCCCUCGAGUGCACUGCCAUUAAAUCGCAACGCUCUCUCUUCGCUCUCCCCUCCGAAGGUCCAAAACCAUACAAGGUCCAAAACCAUACAUACAGACACGCGCUCUCAUCUGCUCAUCUUCAAGUGUCCCUCGAAACGCAAUGUGGAAGGGAGUGUAACUAGGCCAAUCAAGAACUCAAGUAGCAGGAGCCCUAAUGUUCAAGGGCCGCACCCGCAAACCUCACCACCAACAGAUUGCAACCUGAACACAUAGCCCCCUCUGCAUACCAGCAUCGCAGCUAGGCCACGUCUUUGGUCUCUUUGCAUCGUCACCGCUAUACUACAUACCGAAAGCAACCCGGCAUCAUCGGGAAGAAUCAAUGCAGGUUAAUGCGCAAGCUCAAGCUAUCCCUCACCCCACUUGCAUGCGUGCUAGCUACAAUAGGCUCAGGAGUAAGUGACUCCCUGUCCUGUCCCAUCCUACACAGUGCUUUCCAUCAAUGGUAACGACCUACCCUAUCCUGCGUCUAUCUAGUCAGUCAGUUUUUAAGAAUGCCAGGCUGGCCCGACAGGGACCAGCAUCAGCAGCCAACACCUGAACCUGCCUACCUAAGAAACAACACUACAAAGCGUGUAUACGACAAGCCUCUGUACGUGGAAAAUGUAAUUCGUACGCGGUCGUGGAUAAGCCGUCAAGCCUUGCUCAGCUUUACAGCACGCAAACGAAUACUAGCGGCUGCGAAGCUGUGCCAAUGGCAGCCGCUUACUGAGCGGUGGCGGGGCCGAUCACGCCGCCGUAGAUGUGCUCCACGUUCUCCUCGUACCACUUGAUGCCCUGGCGCGUGCCCUCCACCGCCAGGAAGAUGCCGGCGUUGACGGGGAUGGCGCGGUACAUGGCGGCGGAGAAGCCGCGCCACAGACCCGCCUGGCCCUCGCUGGCGAUCACCUGCUUGACGCAGUCAAUGGUAGUGCUGUACUGGGGCUUGACGAACGAGUCGGCCUGGCGAGGGAAUCGAGUGUUGGGCAAGGCGGGAAGCGG